AAUGAUGGAAUGUUGUUUUUCUACUAGUGUAAAGAAGAAACUUGCAUACAAGGACUGAAACAAAAUCGCGAACCUGUGAUCUGUCGAAGCAUCAUUCUAAUGUACUGACCACUUUAGAUAUUGUGUUGUAAUGCCCAUGCCCUGAGUUAAAGAGGGACAUGUAACCAGCAAAUAACAUGGAUAAUAAUGUGCCUGUUAGAUAAAGAC
rnacentral:lncRNA from 1 species